UCCAGACUGACUCAUACCCUUAAAAGAAAGGGAAAUUUGGACAUGGAGAAACACCAGGGGUGCAGGUGCACAGAGGAAUGGCUAUGUAAGGGCACAGUGAGAAGGCAGCCAUCGCCAAGUGAAGAAGAGAAGCCUCAGAAGAAACCAAACAUGCAGACACCUCGAUCUUGAACCUGCAGCCUCCAUGGUGAUAAGAAAAUACAUAUCUGUUAAGGGUAUGAGUCAG